rnacentral:rRNA from 1 species
UACGUAGGGUGCGAGCGUUAAUCGGAAUUACUGGGCGUAAAGCGUGCGCAGGCGGUCUUGCAAGACAGGUGUGAAAUCCCCGGGCUCAACCUGGGAACUGCAUCUGUGACUGCAUCGCUGGAGUGCGGCAGAGGGGGAUGGAAUUCCGCGUGUAGCAGUGAAAUGCGUAGAUAUGCGGAGGAACACCGAUGGCGAAGGCAAUCCCCUGGGCCUGCACUGACGCUCAUGCACGAAAGCGUGGGGAGCAAACAGG